rnacentral:tRNA from 1 species
GCGCCCAUAGCUCAGCCGGUAGAGCAGCUCCCUCUUAAGGAGAUGGUCGGAGGUUCGAAUCCUCCUGGGCGCA